UCAAAUACUAUGAAAGAGAAAAGUAUUUUGAAUUAACUUAGUACAGAGAUAAGUACCGUAGGCUGAGAGUACUUUCUAAGUAUCCAAAAGAAGUUCCCUCUGGAGUAUUAAAGCUGAAAUUACAGUAGGCUUUAACGUUAAAACGCGUUAAGUUUAUUAGAGGUGGUUUAAUAAUUUAUUAAUUAUUAAGCUACUAGGGUGGUACCGCGAAUAAUAGUCUUUCGUCCCUAGA
rnacentral:ncRNA from 1 species